GGUAUAAGCAAUUAUACAGCGAAACUGCGAAUGGCUCAUUAUAUAAGUUAUCGUUUAUUUGAUAGUACCUUACUACUUGGAUAACCGUGGUAAUUCUAGAGCUAAUACAUGCUAAAAAUCCCGACUUCGGAAGGGAUGUAUUUAUUAGAUUAAAAACCAAUGCCCUCUGGGCUCCUUGGUGAUUCAUGAUAACUCUUCGAAUCGCACGGCCUUGCGCCGGCGAUGGUUCAUUCAAAUUUCUUCCCUAUCAACUUUCGAUGUUUGGGUAUUGGCCAAACAUGGUUGCAACGGGUAACGGAGGGUUAGGGCUCGACCCCGGAGAAGGAGCCUGAGAAACGGCUACUACAUCCAAGGAAGGCAGCAGGCGCGCAAAUUACCCAAUCCCGAUUCGGGGAGGUAGUGACAAUAAAUACUGAUACAGGGCUCUUUUGGGUCUUGUAAUUGGAAUGAGUACAAUUUAAAUCUCUUAACGAGGAACAAUUGGAGGGCAAGUCUGGUGCCAGCAGCCGCGGUAAUUCCAGCUCCAAUAGCGUAUAUUAAAGUUGUUGUGGUUAAAAAGCUCGUAGUUGAACCUUGGGCCUGGCUGGCCGGUCCGCCUCACCGCGUGCACUGGUCCGGCCGGGCCUUUCCCUCUGUGGAACCCCAUGCCCUUCACUGGGCGUGGCGGGGAAACAGGACGUUUACUUUGAAAAAAUUAGAGUGCUCCAGGCAGGCCUAUGCUCGAAUACAUUAGCAUGGAAUAAUGAAAUAGGACGCGUGGUUCUAUUUUGUUGGUUUCUAGGACCGCCGUAAUGAUUAAUAGGGACAGUCGGGGGCAUCAGUAUUCAAUUGUCAGAGGUGAAAUUCUUGGAUUUAUUGAAGACUAACUACUGCGAAAGCAUUUGCCAAGGAUGUUUUCAUUAAUCAGGAACGAAAGUUAGGGGAUCGAAGACGAUCAGAUACCGUCGUAGUCUUAACCAUAAACUAUGCCGACUAGGGAUCGGACGAUGUUAUUUUUUGACGCGUUCGGCACCUUACGAGAAAUCAAA
rnacentral:rRNA from 1 species